UACGAAGGGGGCUAGCGUUGCUCGGAAUCACUGGGCGUAAAGCGCACGUAGGCGGAUCUUUAAGUCAGGGGUGGAAUCCUGGAGCUCAACUCCAGAACUGCCUUUGAUACUGGGGAUCUCGAGUCCGGAAGAGGUGAGUAGAACUCCGAGUGUAGAGGUGAAAUUCGUAGAUAUUCGGAAGAACACCAGUGGCGAAGGCGGCUCACUGGUCCGGUACUGACGCUGAGGUGCGAAAGCGUGGGGAGCAAACAGG
rnacentral:rRNA from 1 species